CCAGGGGAAGGUUCGUCCGCCCUGGGUUAGUCGGGACCUAAGCUGAGGCCGAAAGGCGUAGGUGAUGGACAACAGGUUGAUAUUCCUGUACUACCGAUAACCGUUUGAGAGAUGGGAUGACACAGUAGGAUAAGCUAAGCACACUGUUGGUUAUGUGUGCCCAAGCAUUGAGGCAGUCAAAGUAGGCAAAUCCGCUUUGAUAAUGCUGGGAUGUGAUGGGGAGCGAAAUUUAGUAGCGAA
rnacentral:rRNA from 1 species